GACGAACGCUGGCGGCGUGCUUAACACAUGCAAGUCGAACGGUGAUGCUCCAGCUUGCUGGAGUGGAUCAGUGGCGAACGGGUGAGUAACACGUGAGCAACCUGCCCCAGACUCUGGAAUAAGCGCUGGAAACGGCGUCUAAUACUGGAUACGAAACUGGCCCGCAUGGGCAUGGUUUGGAAAGUUUUUCGGUUUGGGAUGGGCUCGCGGCCUAUCAGCUUGUUGGUGAGGUAAUGGCUCACCAAGGCGACGACGGGUAGCCGGCCUGAGAGGGCGACCGGCCACACUGGGACUGAGACACGGCCCAGACUCCUACGGGAGGCAGCAGUGGGGAAUAUUGCACAAUGGGCGAAAGCCUGAUGCAGCGACGCCGCGCGAGGGAUGACGGCCUUCGGGUUGUAAACCUCUUUCAGCAGGGAAGAAGCGAAAGUGACGGUACCUGCAGAAGAAGCACCGGCUAACUACGUG
rnacentral:rRNA from 1 species